GUCUAUGGCCACGCCACCCUGAACGCGCCCGAUCUCAUCUGAUCUCAGAAGUCUUGGGCAGACUUGGCCAUCUGGAGGACAGUACCCUUAACCCUGAGUUUGGUUAACUUUGCAUGGGGACCAUGAACCAUGGCCA
ensembl:rRNA 5S_rRNA 5S ribosomal RNA